rnacentral:rRNA from 1 species
UACGGAGGGUUCAAGCGUUAUCCGGAUUCACUGGGUUUAAAGGGUGCGUAGGUGGGCUAGUAAGUCAGUGGUGAAAUCUCCGGGCUUAACCCGGAAACUGCCAUUGAUACUAUUAGUCUUGAAUACCAUGGAGGUGAGCGGAAUAUGUCAUGUAGCGGUGAAAUGCUUAGAUAUGACAUAGAACACCAAUUGCGAAGGCAGCUCGCUACGCGGUUAUUGACACUGAGGCACGAAAGCGUGGGGAUCAAACAGG